CUAGCCGUCGUUCUGCUGCUUGUCGUUUGUUUUGCUUCUCCUUACUUUGAGGAACUCCAUAAGCACACGCAGCGCAACGUCGACGUCCUCACUCCGCAGCAGCAUCUCGGACACCUCUGCCGGCGUAACCUCCACCGCCGCAAGCAGUUCUUUAAUCUCCGGGAAGAGAGCGUGGUCGUCGACAAGGUGGUAGUUCCGUGCCAGCGUCUUGAAGGCCUCCCAGCCACAGUGUCCCAUGUAGACGUGCAUGUCCAUGCGGCCCGGCCGUAG
rnacentral:rRNA from 1 species